rnacentral:rRNA from 1 species
UGGGGAAUAUUGCACAAUGGGCGCAAGCCUGAUGCAGCCAUGCCGCGUGUGUGAAGAAGGCCUUCGGGUUGUAAAGCACUUUCAGCGAGGAGGAAGGUGGUGGAGCUUAAUACGUCAUCAAUUGACGUUACUCGCAGAAGAAGCACCGGCUAACUCCGUGCCAGCAGCCGCGGUAAUACGGAGGGUGCAAGCGUUAAUCGGAAUUACUGGGCGUAAAGCGCACGCAGGCGGUUUGUUAAGUCAGAUGUGAAAUCCCCGGGCUCAACCUGGGAACUGCAUUUGAAACUGGCAAGCUAGAGUCUCGUAGAGGGGGGUAGAAUUCCAGGUGUAGCGGUGAAAUGCGUAGAGAUCUGGAGGAAUACCGGUGGCGAAGGCGGCCCCCUGGACGAAGACUGACGCUCAGGUGCGAAAGCGUGGGGCAGCAAACAGGAUUAGAUACCCUGGUAGUCCACGCUGUAAACGAUGUCGAUUUUGGAGGUUGUGCCCUUGAGGCGUGGCUUCCGGAGCUAACGCGUUAAAUCGACCGCCUGGGGAGUACGGCCGCAAGGUUAAAACUCAAAUGAAUUGAC